rnacentral:rRNA from 1 species
GGAUGGAAGUAAAAAGUCGUAACAAGGUCUCCGUUGGUGAACCAGCGGAGGGAUCAUUACCGAGUUUACAACUCCCAAACCCAAUGUGAACGUUACCAAACUGUUGCCUCGGCGGGGUCACGCCCCGGGUGCGUCGCAGCCCCGGAACCAGGCGCCCGCCGGAGGAACCAACCAAACUCUUUCUGUAGUCCCCUCGCGGACGUAUUUCUUACAGCUCUGAGCAAAAAUUCAAAAUGAAUCAAAACUUUCAACAACGGAUCUCUUGGUUCUGGCAUCGAUGAAGAACGCAGCGAAAUGCGAUAAGUAAUGUGAAUUGCAGAAUUCAGUGAAUCAUCGAAUCUUUGAACGCACAUUGCGCCCGCCAGUAUUCUGGCGGGCAUGCCUGUCCGAGCGUCAUUUCAACCCUCGAACCCCUCCGGGGGAUCGGCGUUGGGGAUCGGGACCCCUCACACGGGUGCCGGCCCCGAAAUACAGUGGCGGUCUCGCCGCAGCCUCUCCUGCGCAGUAGUUUGCACAACUCGCACCGGGAGCGCGGCGCGUCCACGUCCGUAAAACACCCAACUUUCUGAAAUGUUGACCUCGGAUCAGGUAGGAAUACCCGCUGAACUUAAGCAUAUCAAUAAGCCGGAGGAAGGAU